CGGAGCGUGGCGCAGCCUGGUAGCGCACUUCACUGGGGGUGAAGGGGUCGUAGGUUCAAAUCCUAUCGCUCCGACCA
rnacentral:tRNA from 5 species